rnacentral:sRNA from 1 species
GAAAUGUUGCACAAUCAGUAAGUUAACAUCAAAGUUGUAAAUAAAAAACCUGCCUCACCAGCAGGUUUUUUU